GGUAAAAGCAGGCAUUCAGGAUUGGCUGAUA
rnacentral:piRNA from 1 species